AGUGAACGCUGGCGGUAGGCCUAACACAUGCAAGUCGAACGGCAGCACAGUAAGAUCUUGCUCUUACGGGUGGCGAGUGGCGGACGGGUGAGGAAUACAUCGGAAUCUACUUUUUCGUGGGGGAUAACGUAGGGAAACUUACGCUAAUACCGCAUACGACCUACGGGUGAAAGCAGGGGAUCUUCGGACCUUGCGCGAUUGUAUGAGCCGAUGUCGGAUUAGCUAGUUGGCGGGGUAAAGGCCCACCAAGGCGACGAUCCGUAGCUGGUCUGAGAGGAUGAUCAGCAACACUGGAACUGAGACACGGUCCAGACUCCUACGGGAGGCAGCAGUGGGGAAUAUUGGACAAAGGGCGCAAGCCUGAUCCAGCCAUACCGCGUGGGUGAAGAAGGCCUUCGGGUUGUAAAGCCCUUUUGUUGGGAAAGAAAAGCAGCAGGUUAAUACCCCGCUGUUCUGACGGUACCCAAAGAAUAAGCACCGGCUAACUUCGUG
rnacentral:rRNA from 1 species